rnacentral:misc_RNA from 1 species
UUGAAUAACUGAGAGGUUGUCGCUGGCUUCUAGGAGCAUGUGCACGCCUUUCAAAUUCAUCUUAACCACCUGUGCACCUUUGUAGACUAUGGCAACUCUCAGUUCUCGGACUGGAUAGAGGAACAUGCGCUUCAGCUGUUCUUCAAUGUCAUAGGCUACGUUUUAUCUAUACACUAUAUAAAGUCCAGAAUGUCUGUUAUUAGGUCUUGUACCUAUAAACUUAUA